AUGGCAUCCGAGGUCUGUGGCGCUUGUUGCAGGGUAGAGGGGACACGUGAGGCAGCAGUCAGAGGCCCUGGGUCAAGCAGCCCCGAGCCUGGGACCAGCCCCUUGCAAACUAGACUCCCAGGAGCCACAGUAGACCUGGGUUCUGAGCUGUGUUCUUGGCCACUGGGGAGACAAGGUGCAGGUGUGUGUGUGCUGGAACACGUGCUGGGCUGCAGGUCUGUGAGGGCCGUCCUCACGGAUUCUCCCUCUCCCCUCUCUCUCUGUCUCGCCUCCUCUCUCUGGAACUCAUUGAUGAUGAUGCUGCCCCCUCUGGGAGUGCAGUGGCAGUGUUCUGGUUGUGGUUCUGACCCAGCUGCUCCCACCAACCCCAGGGCUCCCUCCCAUCCACACCAGCUCCCACCCAGCCCUAAGCAGUACAACUCCACCAGCCUGCGCCUCUGCUCACCCCCUCUGACCCGGCCUGGCCAGCCGGCAGACAACCCUGGACCUCCAGCCAGGAGAGCUGAGGGGUCUCUGUCACCUCACCUUUGCUCAUGGGGUCAGGAAGGCGACAGAGGGGACAAGGCUACACUGCACUCUGCUUGGUGGGUGGAGAAGUGGUGUGGGUCUCUCCUCUCACUCCUACACGUGGGAGCAUCUGUUCCUCCUGUUUGCAGAGGAACCUGGGCCCAGGGGAAGGGAAGCCCUGGAAGGCAUUUUGUGUGCCCUUGGGAUUGGCAGCCCCUCCCGCCGGCGCCCUCUGCCUCCAGCCUCACUCCCUCAUCCCAUCAGCAGCGUGUGCUCUUAAUGAGCCUGUCCAGACUGGCCUUGUCUCUUGGCGCUGACGGACCGUAUCCCUGUAAUCAAAGUUUCAUGGCUCAAUUUAGCGCAGUAGGGACAGGUAAUCCCAGCUCCCCGGCUCCUCCCGCCCUGCUCUCAAACGUCAUUUCUGGGAUUGGGCCCAGAACAUUCACGCACUAUCCUCAGAUCACUGCCCACUGGGCUUUGCAGAAGGGGCCCCCACCCCCACUCCAGGAAGGCCCGGGUGCCGCUGCCUCCCUCCACCCCCUUGUGGUGGUCACUUGUCACCUGGGCCACCCAGAUCUCCCCGAGCACCUUUAG
rnacentral:lncRNA from 1 species